CGCGCCCGGAGCGCGGCCAAGGCAGGCCAAGGCCGAGGUGGCGCUGCAAUCACUCGGCACAUUUCUGGAGCUCAUAUGUCAAAAAGCAUCACCUUCAGGCCGCUGAACCCUUCAAAAGAAGCACACACCAGGCUCCAGCCUAACCUAGCUCUCACCCUCCUCAGAAAGGACGAAAGAAAAAAGACAGGGAAGGGAUAUACAAAGGCAUUUCUCAUCAAGUGCUAAAUGGCCCGAUAUACCGUAACCUCUGCUUCUCUGCUUUAUAGCAAGAGAGUGAUGAAAACCCGAUGGGACAGCACGCAGGCUGCACUGUGAGCCACCGGGGUGCAUUUUUGGAAUUGGACAAAUAUUCUGAAGUGGACACCUGGGAAGGUCAUGGGCAGCAAGGGGAAAUACCGUCAGGAAAGAAAGAGUUUAAAACUACUAAGAAAAAAUCUGAAUACAAUUUUAAGAGGUGUAGUGCUGGCAUGGAUCAGUUUUCCUGAAAAGCAGGAACCGAGCUUGGAGCUGGCUCCUGAUCUGCAGUUUGAAGACCUCAAAAGCAGAGCAAUUUAGCCAGCAACUUCUUCAAGGAGUCCAGCUAAAACUACAAGGACAUAAAAUUCCAGUCAGACACAGGAAAUUCUUGGGGCAAUUCAAGAUUUUUAUGAGUCAGAAGAUAAAAAUCCCUCUGAAUACCUAACUAAACUAAUCUAAUGAAGUAGUCACCAGGAAAGGAGUGUGGUGAAUCUGCAUGUCAGGAAGGACAAAUUUAAACAAACAGGAAAUUGAAUAACCUGAAGCUGUUUUCAUUUUUACUCCCGGUACCCUGCUUCUAUUUUUUUUAAGGUGCAAACUGAGUUGAUGGCUGCAGAACCUGAGGGGACUUUUCCAUUUUAGAGGAAGUCUCAAUUUAAAAGAAAUUAAUUACCUGGCUUCCUUUUGAAAAGGUGGAGUGAGGUUUACUUUUUGUAUGGUCUAUGCUGCAAUGCCUAGAACCAAAGGAGUGAAAGCAGCUGCUGGCAUAGAUUUCAGCAUUGUGCUGAGCUUCAACAGCAAAAUGCUGCCUUGUUUCAUCACACUGCCACAAUACAGAUACAGUGACAUGCAGGAUGCAGCAAACAGUACAGGAGAUGCCCCAAGAAAACUCGAGCCCUCCCAGCAGGCAGUAGGAAAUUCACCAUUACCAUUCCCUGGUGACUAGGGGGCAUGCUGAGGCAGUUUUCUUAGCUUAUUUUUGCUAUUACUAAGGUGGGAUUUAAAGUGUUCAGCAACAGCUUAUGAGACCUACAGUUUCAUCCUGUUACAGAACAGCACCCUGAAGACCUAUUUUACUCUAAAUUUUAAAAAAGCAAAAAUCUAUUUAUAAUUUAUCAAAUUAAUUCCAUUAAUUAUUCCAAUAUAAUUCUUAUAUUCUUAAAUUCUGAAAUCUUCUAACCAAGCACAUAGCACAAUAAGCAUUUUAGACACUAACAAAAUACUGAUAAUAAGAACAAAAUUGUUUCACCUGUGCUUUUUUGUGGUUUACUUUGUUCUCUAACAAAUUGUGAGGAAAAAGAAAUAUUUUUCCUACAACCAUUUUUUGCUUUCAAGUACUUUGUUAGAAAAAAAAUCUAUUUUCAGUACCAGUAGAAUUCAUCAUAUUAUGACAGGAAAGCAAAAUUGUUUCAUUUAUAAGAUCUUGUAACAGCAUGAAGCUAACCCCAUGGUCUCUGAGACAGAAAUUCUGCCAGCUGUAGACUUAUAAAGAGCCAGCAGAGAAAAAGAAGUUUCUCAGAUGGAGCUGUUAGUCAUGAUAUGAAGAAUGUGUGUCCCCUACAGAUGUUAUAGUUAUUUGCAUGAUAAAUCCUGAUCAUCACCGUAGGAAUUUUGCAGCCUUCUUUUAAGUUAAUGCUCAAGUUCCAAUUAAUCUUCUUUUGACAAUAUUUGUCUAAUAUUUCAGUGUUAAACAACAUUUCCAGGGUUACAUUUGCAGUGAGCCUACUGGGUACUUUAUUUAAAUGCUGUAUUUCUGACUUUGUACUUGCUGCAGAACGACUUCUUUUAGUUCUUCAAUGCUUCACAAAUAUUUCUAGGAAAGACAAGUAUAAUAAGCAUUGAUAAAUGUUUAUUAAGGGCAUAUCUAGACUUGCAAGUUAGCUGGAAUUAACACUGGGGUUAAUUUAGAGCAAGCAAUAGUUGUGGAACAACUCCCUGGGAAAAAAAAAGUAUUUAUAAUAAAAUUACCUCAUUCUCAUGUUCAACACUUGAACUGUUUUGAGUAACAUAUGAUAAAUGAGAACAAAGCAUGUUUGUUCCAGUUUGUGGGAUCAUUACUUUACUUAGGAAUGACAGUCUAGGGAAUUCAAAAUGAAAUGAGGGAUGUGAAAAUACCUUAAGGUGUCUCCAAGAAACUUGAGGUUGCAUAAAUACAGACUCAGAUGCCAGCAGCCCUUUUUAAACCAGCACUACACUGACCCUUUUCAAAGGCCUGUGUAAUGCAGAACAUGAUGCUACACAGGGCACUGAACCCCACACAAAAAAGAAGGGUUUUUUUUUACAAGGAUGCCAUUGCACAUGCACCUUGAGUGAGCAGGGUGCAUUCACUCAGCAGGAGGUCUGGGAUUAUUGUCUGGUUUGGGAAAGUUAUAGCAAAUUCUUUGGUAGGGAAACAAAACCAGAUGUUGCCUCUACAUCUCCUCUGCUCUUACAUAUUGGGAACAAAAGAGAAACUUGGAGUCCUUAUGCCAUCUGACUGUCAUAAACAGCUUCUUGGUGGAAGAAAUGAGUGCUCUCCCUGUAAAGAGGAGGCAGCUGUACCUCUCACAAUGAUAAGGGGGUUUUGAGCCUUGGUGUUGCUUGGUUUUAACAUCUACCCUUGGCUAAGGGUACCCUGUGCCAAGAGACACAGCACUGAUGAGACCAAGGCGUUAAACCUUAGUAAUUCUCUGUUCCAAGUACAGUGUUUGGGGCAAAGAUGCAAAUGGGACCAGGAGCCCAGGAGAAAGGCCUGGUGACAUGUACUGAGCUGGCUCACACUACAGUGCAAUAGUGCCAAACUUUUACAGCUACCCUAGGAAAAGCCAUGCCCCCGCCUCCGCUGCCAAGGGAGCGGCAGGCAGAACAGUGUACCUAACAGGAGCACUGCUUCAAAAGAGAGUCAGAAAAAUACUUGUAGCUUAAGCCAGCAAGCAAAUUGAAGCUCUGCAGAGAGCAUUUUCCCUUCAGCAGAAAAGCAGACAUGUGACAUUCUGCUCCACACCCUAGUUUUGGUGACUGCACUAAAAUAAGGGGGGUAAUGGCAGAAAAUGUGUGAAGCUGUCCCUCAUGCAAUCCCUCUGUUUUGUCAAGAUCCAAAAAUCAAUCUUAGCAUAGAGUUUAUUCAAGAAAUAUUUAAAGCAAGUAACCUCAAACUCACAGACUAAAGUCAUAAUAGGAGCAAGAUGACGCAAGUAUCCAAGAUGUAGGCAUUGGCUAUUUAAAUGCUUCCUGCUGUAGAUUUCCCUCCCGUUUAGUUCCAAAGAUAAAAUCUAAUAUGGAAAUAAAAAGCUACGUAAUGCCUCACAUUUCAAGCCCACUGGGAUAAAGGAACUGGGAUAAAAGGAAACUUGCUAUUCCAUAAAUAACCUGAUUAAUAUACAUUGUAAAAUUCAUAACAUUAUAAGCAAUUAUAAUCACUGCAUUAAGCAAACUAUAUAGAAGAUAACAUUGGCCUAAAACCAAAAUUGCAAUAAUAGUAUCAGGUUUCCUGUUUAAAACAGACUUUUUCAUCUUAACAAAAAAUGUAUUUUGAAUUACCUUUUCAGGCAAUGGACAUUUCACCUAGCUUCAGGAUGAUAGCCUAUUCUUAAUUUACUACAGUUUAACUUUAAGGAACACCUAGGAAUAGUGAACUGAAUAAGUAACAGUCUCGUAUUAGGAUAUCUGCGUUUGCCUCCAACUGCUCCCCUGUUUGCUGUCCUGUUUUUUUUUGUCUUGCUAGAUACACAUUAACCUGUUGGACUGACCUUCACUUCCCUCCCAGUCCCUACAACACAUUACAAUUCUUUAAAAAGACAUCUUGGAAAGACUGCCUUUUGGUAAUCCUCCUCAGCUGAGCUCUACACACUGGUCUGGCAUGCAUUGUGUACCUGCAUCUGUCAUGAAAAUUUGAUGACAAAUCAUCUGUUUCCUGACAAAGAGGCUGCACUGACUUCAAAUUCCCAUGAAAUGUUUUUGUCCACCAGGAAGAAAAACAUUCUGCUCUAUUGCAGUGAUCAUUUUCAAACUUCUAUUCUCCAUUUGCUUUAGCCUGUAUUAUCAUUUAUUUGUAUUAUAAUUUUUCUGGAUCAGUUAAAGCCUGUUGCAAGAUACAUCUUUUCUAUCAUCUUUUGGGAAAAUGUAAAGAGACCGGAACUAAUGAAAGGAAUGAAAGCAAAUGUUUCACAGUAACAAUGCUGUUUUCAGAGGGUGAGAAAUGAAGAUCCUUUUUAAGGCUGACCUACCCCAGUUUGUUUAAAACUAAGCUGAACUUGAACUGAUAAACUACUCUUUUGAGAUUAACCUGAAUAGUGUACAUUCAGUAAAACACUGUAAAUGUAAACAUACCUGAAUUGGAGUCAAACUUUGUUUCUGACCUGAAAAUGAAAAUAAAAAGAUCAUAAGUUACAAGAACUGCUUUAUGCCAUAAAAGCCAUUUGUCAGACUGAUCCCUCCAGCAAAUGCCAUCUUUAACCAGACUGUCUAACUCUGUACAUUAACACUUAAUGCAUUUAAAGGCAUUUAAAUCCAAAUAAUGACUAAUCUUCAAUAUUUUACUGUUUUCUAUGCUGUAAUUACAAAGAAGAUAUUUUAAAAGACAAAUCACUAAAUGAAAAAAAAUAUAAAUUUGAUCUAGGAUUAAAUUAUACACUGUGAAUCAUAGCAUACUGUUGUUUGUAUAAAUUAAAUAGUUUUAAUUAAUUUUUAUUUUUGAAAAGUCAUUAGGAGGAUUUAAUUCAUUCAUGAAUGUUUCCAAUCUAUUUUUGAAGCAGAUACCGUUUCAUUAAUGUCAUAUGUAUUGUAGCCAGUGAUCUGUACUUAAUUGUGCAACAUCCUAGGAGGUUUUUGUUUGUGUGUGUCUUCAAUUUACUCAUUCUGCACAUAGGAGUAAGUGGUUUGAUUUUCUUAAAAGUGGAAAGUGGGGGGUGGGAGAGAGGAAGGGAGCCAGACCUAAAUUUUAACUUGUUUUAAAGUCUUUACAAAAAGACAAUGAUGUGUGCAUUAUGCACCAUUAGCUUUGGUCGUGCACUGCAUAUUUUUCUCUUCCUAACAAGUUGUGUUUUCUUCUAAGGGCUUAGCACUUAGCAAAUGAACCCUAUAACCUGUAUAUUUAAUAAAAGGAAGAAAAAAUUAGCCCUUGUGGGAACAUCAUGUUUCAGAUAUCAGUUAAUAAUACUUGUAAAUGUAGAAGCCUUUGAAGGUCUCAAUUCAACUGUGGGAAAACUUAAGUUGGGUAAUUACUCAAGAUGCUGCUGAUGUGCUGUCAAGCAGAAUUAACCCUAUGACUAGGGCUAUCUACACAAUCUGCUACAAGACAGCAUUGUCUAUAUUGAGCCCUCAAACCAAUUAACAGGCAUGUUCCAAUCAGAUUUAUAUCGCCCACUAACAAUCAGUUGCACACAUGGUCAUGGCCGUCACAGCAGGACACAAGGCCUGACCAGCAGGAGACCUGUUAAAGCAUGUUACGUUGGCAGCAAAAUGCAUUUCCCCAGAAAUUCUAAGGAGGAAGUACAAUGUUGGAUCCUUCUACAUUGCAUCAAGGAAGGGAUGUAUUUUUGGGAAGUUACAGUCCUUCUUUUUUCAGAAACAAGUGUCGAAGAUAAAAAACUAAUUGCAGAUUUAUUUUCAACUUUUAUUUUACAAGCUAGUACAUGCUGUUACAUGUUGAUGUCUUUUACGUGCACUGUACAUUUUUAGAUAACCUGCACUGUAAUUGUAUACCAAAUAUCUAUGCUACAGCAAAUAAAUAUAAAAUCAAUUAUAAUUUGAAAAAUAAACAGGUUCACACUAUUAAAGUCAUCAGAAAGGAAACAACUCUCUUCUCCCAUCCUGCUCAUUCUGCACCUUCUUCCAGUGCUCACAAUAUUUUGUCUUAAAUAUAACUCUCAGGAGAUGAAAGGUGAGAGGGAAAAGACAUAUCUUCAUAAUUAAUAUUUUUAGUACUACCAAAAGCACUGAUCAAAGAAAGCAUGUUGCUGACAUGCCUUCACAAAUAGCAGCAGCAGUAACUGCCCAGGGCACCAGCCCAUGCUCAGUUUGGCAGUAUAAUUCAAUUGGUAUUUACACCAGCAGGAUGAAGUCCCCACCCUGUGAAAUGUGUUAACCUGGGGGAAAUUCCACUGAGUUAGAAUUAAGCCACUUAUUCAGUGUUUUAUUUACAAUAUUCUCCUCAAACUGCUGUAUACCUGCCUACACUAUUCUCUCUUGCUCAUCACAGUAUCAGCAACACCUCACUACUACAGACAGACACAAUGUACGAAUCUUACCCUCAGCAUCUGUUUAUCUGCACAAAUCAACUUCUUGUUGCCUAAAUUAUAGAUACUCCCUAUUAGUUGGUCAAACAGAGCUCUUGCUUCUCAGCCUAAAUGCCUUGUUAUGGACACAUGCACUGCAAUUUGUGGCUUCAACGAACAGGCCCAAGGGCCAAGGUGGCAGAGCACACAUGGGGAGGAGGGUCACGAGGGUCACUGGGCACUGUAAUGAGUACCAAAGCUCCAAACAGUCAUAAAUUACUGGACAACACAUCAGAAAACUGAUAUGGGGGUGAUAAAUGAAUCAAACUUUGUCUGGCAACAGCAGAAUAGUUAUGAAAGAAAACACAACAUGGGAGGUAGUACUAGGAGCCAUCAAGAGCAGGAGGGUCAUCUAUGUUAUAGUCACCAUUUCCCCUUGGGAAAACAAUGUAAAAUUUAGAACACAGUAUUACAGAAACUGUUAGAGAUCUUAAUAAGGCACAGAAAAAGUGGAGGAAAAUAAUGAAGCAUCUUUGGCAUUGUAAAUAAGCAGCAAGUGGCAGAUGUGAGAAAGCACUCUGCAAGAACACAAAGUCACCUUGACUACUUGAAGGAAUGACAAAGCUUACAGCCAUUUUAAUGAAAGCAGAAUUUAGCAGCAUUUCCCCCUUCUUCCAGGAUUUAUAUCUGCUUCUCAACAGCACAUUAGACAAAAUGUCAGAAACUAAUUGCGCAUAGGUGUUAAAAAUGCUCAACUAAAAUAUGGUCAUUAAAUAGGAUAAAAUUAAAUACUGAAAGUACAUUCCAAAGGGAUGUUCUGCUGCAUACAAAAACAUUCACUCUGACUCCUUUGUACUUUUAAAAUUACAUUAACUAGAAUGAAAAAACUCAGUACAUUGUUUGUUAUCAUAGUACAUAUUCUGAUAUCCAACCUAAGCAUCCUGCCAGGCAAGAUGCACGUUACAUAUCCAGGUCCUGACUGUACAAAUUGUCUUUUAUCAUUUAUCACAACCAGAGGAGAGCACCCCAACACCACACUCCACCGUCCCACCCCCAAAUGAACAGAUAAUAGCUUUCUGCAUAUUUUCUCUACUUCUGUCUCCUAUAAAGGAGUAUUGUGAAAGCCAGGUAAUCAUUCAUAAAUAUCUUUGGAUAGGAGUCUUAUGUGCAUAAAGAGGAACAAGAGGGUAUUUAUGAAGUGCUUUUCAUUUCUAACUUCGAUAUGGCUCAAAUACACACAAUACAUGGCAAUACAAAUGUCAAGUAGGCUCAGCUAGCAACGCAAAAUAUGCAAGGAAAUAGUGAGCUACUGGAAAGAUUUAGCUAAGUGCAGGCUGCUGCAAUACUUGUAAAUACCUCAGGAAUAAUUAAGUCAAACACAAACAAUAGAAUAUAUGAUGGUCAUUCUAUCUGUACUGUAAAAAGGUGCAGGGUUUCAACCUGUUUCUUCUAAAAGACAUCAUAUACCAGAGCUUCAGAUUGCCAAGUACUAAGAAAGAGAGAGAAAUGGAGUAAUGAUAAUCAUCAUGUGUUUCUACAGUCUGAAUUUUAAACUACUGCUUCCUAAGUAUGACUAAACUGCAGUUGUUCAGUGCCACAUAUUACAGUGUCAACAGAUACACUACAGCUGAAGUUAACACAAAUCUGCUACUUGCCAGGGAAGCAGGCUUUAGUCAAAGAGAGAGGGAAGAGGACUUACUGCAGAAUCUCUGCUGCUGUGUUACAAUUGCUUUUCAUUUUAGCUUUCAUGAUGAAGUAUUUAUCAGGUUUGUAUAGGUUUUGUUGAGGGAACAUAGGGAACAGCCUUUGGAAAGCCCACAACUCUCUCAGAAAGUACACUGCAGUUCUGGUCCUUGCAUUUUAACAUGGAAGAAGUAAUUUUUUUUUCUCUUGGCUUUAUUAGGCCUUUGCAUUAGCAGUAUAUACCAGGCUGUUACUUUGCAAGUCUGUGCUUCAUGUGUGCUAAACAGAACAUUGGUAGGGGCAGACAUUCACUAUACUACUUCUCUCUGAAAAGGACUUUGAUAAAGAUCUGUUACAGUCAUAAAGAUGAUGCAUCAUUGUAGGAUGAUAUUUACAGGAAAAUGGACAUGUACUAAAUGAACUAACCUAUAAUUUAAAAAUAUUCUAGUCUGGAGACUUACCAUGUUGAUUGUAAUGCUAGUAUUAAUGACUGUACCAUGUAUACUUAAAGGAAUUAUGAGCAUGAUUGAGAAAACUAGAAAUCAUGUGAGAGUGCUUUGUCUUCUCUCAUUACACCUUUGGUACUCGAUUUUCAAAGAAUUUUAUUCCAUAUUGGCAUGAGCAGUUUGCUGAAGAGAUGAUAGUCUAGCAGGCUCCUGAUGCAAUCCAAGCCAACCCAUGUCCUGGUCCAGGUGACCAAGCAGGAUACAAUCAGUCUUCUCUCUCCCACGUUUGCCUCCCAGUGGUACAGAAUACAUCUAGCUGCAGUAUCAGUGUUCCUGCUACAGCAUUGCUAGCAAGCUAAAGAAGGCCAGGAGAGUAAUGCUCAGUUGUGAACAUAUCCCUGAACACUUCAUUGGCCCUUAUCAUGCUGAUGAGAACUCUAGACCGGACCUAGGCAAACUGCAGGGGAGGCUUAGGCCAGGGACCGCUCCCCAAAAGCAGAAUGAACCAGGCCACUCUGUUUCAGAGUAGAGGAAUUGAUGUUAAAAACACAAGCUAUGUCUUGUCACUUGCCUUUAGGGCCAGAGAAGAGACGUUUGUCUAUUUUAUUUUUAAGUAUAGACAUAACCCUUCUGAAAAUGUAAACCAUUACCUGGAAAACAGUCACUCAUCAUACUCAUGAGCUGAAGCUCCAAAUAGCUUCUGGAAGCUCCUGAAAGUCAAGCUUCCAGAAGGAAAAACG